GUCACCUUGCCAGAGUGGUUAAUGGGCUGGCCUGCUAUUAUCUGCUAUCAAGCCAGUGUCUUCGGACGCGCAGGUUCGAAUCCUGUGGGUGACG
rfam:Colletotrichum gloeosporioides Nara gc5 unplaced genomic scaffold scaffold376, whole genome shotgun sequence.